GAUGAAGAACGUAGCGAAAUGCGAUAAGUAAUGUGAAUUGCAGAAUUCAGUGAAUCAUCGAAUCUUUGAACGCACCUUGCACCCUUUGGCAUUCCGAAGGGUAUGCUCGUUUGAGUGUCAUUGUACUCUCACACUCUCCGAUCCUAUGGAUUCGGGGAGCGGUGGACUUGGGUGUUGCUGCCUUUCCUUGUGGCUCACCUCAAAUGUGUCAGUGCACCUCUCGGUUGGACAUAGUACGGCGUGAUAAGUGUCUUCGCCGGCACCUCGCAAGAGGGUGGCCGAUCGGGAGCUCUGUGCUUUCAAACCGUCUUCGGACAAUUUCUGACAACUUGACCUCAAAUCGAGUAGGACUACCCGCUGAACUUAAGCAUAUCAAUAAGCGAGGA
rnacentral:misc_RNA from 1 species